CACACUUAGACACACAGGGAAAAAUAAAAAGGUGGCCAGCUAUAGUCAGUCCACUAGACUCAAGAAGACAAAUCUGGGUGUCUUCACCAUGACUUGGACUCUACUACUCCUCAUUUUCCUUCAUCAUUUAACAGGGACAUGUGCACAGGUUGUGCUAACUCAACCAAGCUCUGUGUCUGGGUCUCUUGGGAGCACAGUCACCAUCACCUGCAAGCGCAGCAGUGGUAACAUUGGAAGCUACUAUGUGCACUGGUACCAGCAGCACUUUGGAAGUCCACCGACCAAUGUGAUCUAUGAAGACCAUAAGAGACCAUCUGGGAUUCCUGAUCGGUUCUCUGGCUCCAUUGACAGCUCCUCCAACUCAGCCUCUCUGACCAUUACUGGUCUGCAGAUUGAAGACGAGGCUGACUAUUACUGCCAGUCGUCUGGUAGUGGUUUUACUCACAGUGCUAAGAAUCAUGGAGGAGUAAGACAAAAACUCCCCAGAGCACCAGCUGUGAAAUCAUUUGUUAAAAGAAGUACUUUUAGUUCAUGUCUCCUAUAAAGCUACUGCUAUUGGUAUGUCCAAGUCAUAAUUACUUCUAGGUUCACUGCAAGAUUCCAGUUUCUCCUCCUACAUGUGGAUGACUGCACUCUACGCAUUUAAGUUCAAUCCAUUGAGAAGAAAUAGUUAAGAACAGGAAUUUUGGAAGGCAAUACUACUGACAAUUUGUGUCAGAGACUUCAUUACACAUAUAAGCAAUUGAGCAUCAUCUCUGACCAUGUCACUUGCAUAUUUUCAUGUUUCCCUCCAUUAUGACAUCACUAACUCUCUGUAUUGCCAAAUUUAUCUGUAAUAUUGGAAAGUCACACUUGAGCAAGACCAUUAUUUCAAGAAGUCAAAACCCCUAUCUUUGACUUUCAUUUAAGUCACCAAGGCAUAAGGAUGAAAUUUUACCUCCCUGAGAUUUUGCCCCUAACUGCUAAGCAAUAUAAUAGCACUUAAUUCAAGAGAUGAUUCUGAUGAGAAGGUCAUAUUCUAGUGAGGACAAAACCUGGGUUACCCAACACUAUAGAAGGCCUAACCAAGGUCUAUACUAUAAUGUUAAGUGAAAGCCUAGUUUACAAAUAAAUGUUAAAA